GUUAAGUUUUAUUCUUGCUUGUUCAUUCAGUUUUUACUUGUUCUAUAUGUAAGUUUUUGCGUGAAUGUGCUUUAAGGGUUCUAAAUGGAUUGGAAGUAGUUUAUGGGUUAGUUAUGGUUUAUUCUCAUUAGUUGUUAUUGGUUGAUCAAGUAUUCUUGUAUUUAGCAAUGUAUUUUAGUUUCGGUUAAAUUUUGUGCCAGCAGCCGCGGUUAUACCUUGGAGGCGUUUGAAUGUGUUCGGCAUUAAUGGUAGUUGUAUUAUUUAGUUGUUGACUUUGUUUUUAUAGUUGUUAAGGUGAAAUUUUUAUUGUUGUUGAUUGUCUUAUUUGUCUUUUUGGAAGCUAUGAAAUUCUUUUUAUAAACUAGGAUUAGAUACCCUAUUAUUUUGGAAUGUUAAAAUUUGUGUCUGAGUAGUAUUAGUUAUGUUCUUGAAACUUAAAGAAUUUGGCGGUAUCUCAUUCCUUCCAGAGGAAUCUGUCUCGUUAUCGAUAGUCCACGUUGGACCUUACUUAGUUGCUUUGGUUUGUAUACCGCCGUUUAUUGAUUAUCUUUUUAGAGUUUAUAUAAUUUUCUGGUUUCUUUAUUUUGGUUUAUUUCAGGUCAAGGUGCAGCUUGUUUCUAAGUGAAUGAUGGAUUACAUUGUUAUUUGUUUAUUGGAUUGUUGAUUUUAAUAUUGGCAUGAAAUUGGAUUUGGUUGUAAUGGUUUGUAGACUGUUACUAUGAUAGUUGGUUCUGAGAUAUGCACACAUCGCCCGUCGCUCUCGUUUGUUGUUAAUGAGAUAAGUCGUAACAAAGUGGUUGUACCGGAAGGUGCAGCUGGGUUGAG
rnacentral:ncRNA from 1 species